AACCCAUGGUGAGGGCACCUUCUCAAUAGGUCCUUGUAUCUCUUCCAUGCAUCAUAGAGUGUCUCUAGAUUCGUCCGUACAAAAAAGGAGAUAUCAUUCCUCAACUU
rfam:Gossypium hirsutum cultivar TM-1 chromosome 11, whole genome shotgun sequence